CCUCUCCGUGGAAGCCGCACGAGCGACGGACCGUUGGCGAGGCGCGAGUUGAGGGGGUCUAGGCUGCGGCCUCCCGCCCGCGGAUGCCUCAGCGAAUGGCGAGCCUCAGGCCGCCUCCACGGCUGCUGAGAUGGCCGCUGCUUCCUUUCCCCGCAGAGAGGAUGCGGCCUAGGCGCGGGUGGGCCCAAGCGGACCCCGCCGCCCUGACUGAUCAAGAUGGAGAACUCUCAGCUCUUUCUCCAGCACCACGUCUGCCUGCAUAACACCAUGCUUCCCACCAAGAUGAUAAUGGACUAAACCUCUGAAAUUUAUCUAUCUUGGCUGCAGGUCAUAACCACUGAGCUGUGACGACAAGACUGCUCAGCUCCCUCUGCGAAGUGGCUGUCAUCUCUUUUUGUGCCAUCAUGGCUGCCCUCUAGCCUCUGAUGAAGCCCAAGACUGUUGAGAGAAGAGGACCAAGACAUUCAUCAGGCAUGUGAACCUGCAUAUACCAUGAGUGUGUAUGUGAGAGAGAGAGAGAGAGAGGAGAGAGAAAGAGAGAAACCCUGCAUUCUCUGCCUUCACCCUCAAAGUACUGGGACUACAGGUGUAUAUUACCCUGUCUGACUGAGGAGUGUUUGUUAAAAAGAAAAGUGAGUAUAAUUGGUUUCAGACUCAGGAGGCAGAGUCAGGCAGAUUUUUGUGACUCCGAGGCCAGCCUGGUUUAUAUAGUAAGUUCCAGGCCAGCCAGGGCUACACAGGGAGCUCCUGCCUGAAAAAAUGAAAAUGAGAACUCUAUAUAGCUGCACACGUCUGUGGUCUGGUGGCUGUUGGCUGGCCGGUUUGUCGUCCCUGCUGUGACUGCUCCUUUGCCCCGCGUGAUGCUCCACCAAGUGCAUCUGCAGGGUAGAUGCAGGCAGCACCCAAGCCUGAGGCCCUUUGUUCAAACCGUGUGUGAGGAGGCACAUGGAAGCCAAAAGGCAACUCUGGCCAAUUCAGUAAGCCUCUGAGGAGAGCUGCCAACUCUAUAGAGAAGAUCUAAGAAGAGAUGAAAAUAAGGGAAUCUUUUCAAAGAUGCUUGCCUUGGCACUUUUUUGGCAGCUUGGGCAGACUAACUUAUAUUUAGGAAAGCUACACAUAUUCAUGGGAUUCUUGUGGGCACAGUCCCUGCUGACUCAAUUAGAAUUCAGGGAACUUAGCAGGGGAGCCUUUCUAAACCUUUUUAUUUGGAAAUUAUUUCAAACUUAUUUGAAAAGCCACAAGAAUAAAAAUCGCAUAUAAGACUCCCCUAGGGGGCUGGAGAGAUGGCUCAGCCAUUAAAGAGCACUGGCUGCUCUCCCAGAGGACCUGGGUUCAAUUCCCAGCACCCACAUGGCAGCCCACAACUGUCUGUAACUUUGGUUUCAGGGACUCCAACGUUCCCACACAGACAUUCAUGGUGUCAAAACACCAACGUACAUUAAAAAAAUUUAUUUAAAAAAUGAGACUCUCAUAUUCUUCAGCUGUUUUAAAUAUUGUUCCCAUUUGCUCAAUCAUCUGCUGCCUGCACAUGCACAAUCUAUACAGAGUCUCUUCAUUUUAAGGUCAGUUCGCAUAUUUCAGGCUUUUUACCCCUAAGUGUUUUAAGGUAUAUUUCUUUCUUUAAUUUUUUUUUUUUUUUGAGACAGGAUUUCUCUGUGCAGCCUUGACUGUCCUUGACUUGAUUUCUAGACUAGGCUAGCCUCGAACUCACAGACCUCUGCCUCCCAAGUGCUGGGAUUACAGGUAUGCGCCACCGCACCCAGCUCAGCAAGUACUCUUAAACACUGAGUCAUCUCUCCAGCCCCGGCCAUGUCUUUUUAGGUUCAGCUGCUGUGGGAACAUUUCUUAAACUUUUCCCGUGUGCAUAUGUGUAUCUUCUAUGACAGUGACAGUGCGUUCUUUCAGGGUUUUCUUGUGAAGGGUGUUUUGUUCUGUGUGUAUGUGUGUGCAAUGUCCCUGUAUGUGGGGUGUUCAUACACAAGUAUGCACACACACAUAAAGAGCAGAGGUCAACACCAGGAGUCUACCAUCACAAUUCAUCCAUUUGGCUGCCUCACCAUAGCUGGGGGCUUUGCCUCAGUCUCCCCGGAGCUGACUUGCAAAUAUGUGUCACCUGCCUGACUUUUUGUGUUUUAACAUUCUUUCAGUAUAUACGUGUUAUGUGUGUGUGGUGUGUGUGUGGGUAGAUGCACACACCUCAUGUGAAGGCCGGAGGAGGACAUCUGGUUACCUUCUUCUAGUCCUCUCUAUCUUGCCUUGGUUCUUUGAGGCAUGGCCCUCUCACUGAACCCUGAACCCAAAACUUACUGUUUCCAAUGGGCUUCUUAGCAGCCUCCUGAAGUCUGCUUGACUCUCCCUGCUGCACAGGCCCAUGAUUUUUGCUAGGUUGCUGGGGAAUCUAAGGAAGGUCUCCAUGCUUGCCCAGCAAACACUGUUAACCAAUGAGCCAUCUUCCCAGCCAUUGUUCCAGCCCCCAUACCUGGCUUUUUAUUUUUUUUUAACAUGACUUCAUCUUGCAGAGUAAACACUUUAUCAACUGGCAUUCUCUCCCAGCCUUUCUUUCACAUUGUUUUUAAUUUUAUUACUGUUGCUGUUUAUAUAUAUAAGACAUGUGGGGGAGUGAAUUGACUGCAGUUUGUAUGGGGGCAGUCAGAGGGCAACUUUGUAGACUCAGUUCUCUCCUUCUACCUUCAUAUGGCUUCUGGGCAUCCAACCCAGGUCAUUUCUACCCACUAAGCCACCUCAGCUGUCCUUGUUUUGUUUUUGAGACAUGGUUUUAUGUAGCUCGUGUUGUCCUUGAAUAGUAGGCAGCCAAGGAUGACCUUGAACUUCUGAUUCUUCUGCCUCUAUCUCCCUAGUGUGGGUUUGCAGAACUCUCAACCAGUUCCUAAGUAACACCUGAAAUGCAGCCUCCGGAAGAUGAAGCUUUUGCUCCAGAGUGCAGGAACCAGAACCCCCACAAUCUGCAGCUCUUAGCCACAGCCAUGAUGAGGGAUCAGUGUGUCUAUCUUUUGACCUCCGGCAGAUUGUGAAUUAUAAGAAUUCAGCAUCCCAUUAGAAACACGGGCUGAGCAUCUAGUGGUCAGGUUCUCGCUGGAGACAGUUCAGUGGUUAAGAGCACCGCUGCUUCUGUGGAGGAGCCAGGUUCCCAACAUACAGACGGCAGCUCACAACCACCUAUAACUCCAGUUCCAGGGAAUCCAACAGCCUCUCCCAGCCUUUCUCAGCACCAGGCAUGUCCAUGGCGCCUACACAUACAUCUAGGCAGACCCUCAUACAUACAGAAUAAAAACAAGUAAAUCUUCAAGUGGCCAGUUUGAGGGUUUGACACCUGCUUGUAAAUGGGUUAUUUAAAAACAUUUUGUUCACAGCCGGGCAUGGUGGCACAUGCCUUUAAUCUCUGCACUCAGGAGGCAGAGGCAGGCAGAUCUCUGAGGCCAGCCUGGUCUACAGAGCACAUUCCAGGACAGCCAGGGCUACACAGAGAAACCCUGUUUCGAAAAAAAAAAAGAACAUUCUUCACAGAGGAAGACAAUGCAGCCAGUCCUGAUGAGA